rnacentral:lncRNA from 1 species
UGGAUUAAGAACCAUCCCAAUAAUCCCAUUUAACUUAUUAACCUCUUUAAAGACCCUUCCUCCAAAUAUAGUCAUAUUCUGAAAUACUGGGGAUUAGAACUUCAAAAUAUGAAUUUUGAGGGGUCUCAAAUUAGCUCAUAAGACAUGGUAUUUAUAUGUAGAUAAAAUUUGUUUCAAAAUAUGGCAAAAAUAUAAGUCAAUUUAAAGGAAGAAACUUUUAAUAAUACAUUCAUAUAGCAAAAUUAUGAAAGUGGUACAAAAAUGGCAAUUUCUCUUAUCUAUUGAUGGGUAACGAGCUGUCUCAACAUUUGGUGGCUUAAAACAGCCAUUUUAUUUUGCGCAUGGUUUUGUGGGACAGGAAUUCAGGAAGGGCUCAGUGGGUAAUUUCUGUUUGAUUCACUUGGGGUCCACUAGGGCAACAGGAUCCACUUCCAAGAUGGCGUCUUCACUCACAUAUCUGGAACCUCGGUGCUCCUUGUCCUUCACGCUCCAUUUGGUGCCUUAUUUUCCAGGCCCUCUUCCCUCAGGUAGCCUGGGCUUUCUCACAGCAUGGUGGCAUCAGGGUUGUAGGAUUUCUUACAAGGCACUGACUUGUAGAAAGUUUUCAGGAGCUCCGAAUGAGGAGAUUCAAGGGCUCUGACGACCAACCGUCGGCUGUCCCAGUACGUCACUUCUUCCACAUUCUAAUGGUCAGAGUAGUCACUAAGGCCAGUCCAGGUUCGCGGAAGGAAAAUUAGAUUCCACGUCUCUAUGGGAGGACUAGCCACACUAAGCCACUGCGCUGGUUUAGAACUGUCUGAAGUCCCUCCUAGAGGUCGUGUGUUUGAUUCUGCAUCUCCGUGAUUUGUGAAUCUUGCAUCAUUUAAAUUCAGCCUUACACACUGAUGCCUUUGGUGCCGUCCCAAUAUUUAGGUAGCAAACUCGUAGUGGGUAGAGAUUCAGGCUUAAGCUUCCAGCCUGGCUCUGAGGAGAACUGUCUGGGGCUCCCUGCCCUCUUCCCCAUGGAUGAGACUCUUCCCAGCCUUGGGCAAACACAGCGGGGAGCUGGCACCAUCUCCCGCUAGACACCUCCUCCUUUUCCUCUUGCCCUUACCAUGACUCCCGAGUUAUUCUCAGAAGUAAAAGCUUUCCACGCCUGCUCUUCUCUCCUGCAGCCAGGAGUGCAAAUUUAGAUAUUGGAGCUGCUCAGGCAGAAAAAUGGCCCUGGAAUCAGGGAAGCAGAAACCUGCAGCUGCCACGAAAGGACCGCGGAGAUGAAGACCCGGAAGCUUGCAUGUGUUGAAGCCCGGGGUGUGGGGGACUGUGGUCACGUACUCGAGGGGGCUUCAGAGACCUCUGGGAAGCCCUUUCUGCCCACUCGAAGCCUGCCCCUGUGCCUGACAAUCUUCCAUCGGGAGCGAUGUCAUAAAGAAGAAAUGGAAUUCAGUGGGAAGAGUGGUGGACUCGGGGACAAAAGAUCUGGGUUUGCGCCCUGGCUCUGACCUAACUCACCAGCAUUAUUGGAGGCACGUUAGGUUCCCAUGAAAAGCAGCAUCCCAGUGAAGUCAAAGCCCUGGAACCAUCCUCUUCAUCUGUGUUGCUGCUGAGAGAUCAGAAGUCUACCUCUGGAGAUAGAAUCCUUGUCUGCUGCUGGGAUGGAGGGAAGUGCUAACAUUCCACUAGAAAGUGGGUUCUUCCAUGGAGGGACAGAAUUUGAUUCUUGCUGCUUAUACAAAGUAGGUGUUCACAAGGCACUUGUGAACAGCUAGCUCUGCAGAACAAGUCUCCAUCAUCUCGUUGCAGGCUGCUUACCUGCUGGGAGUGGCAUCCUGGGGCCUUCCUCUCUGGCCACCCUAGACUUUGGUUUUAAUUGCUCCUGAGUCUCCCUUCUUCCUGCCGGCUGGCCCUGCGGUCUGUCACCUACGGGACGGCCAACGUCAGAGCUGGGUGACCUUUCAAAGACACCAGGAUUUGUUUAAUUUUCAGAAUUCACCUCUCUUCAUCCUUUUUAUCAGAGGCAGUUAGGGCCCAGCUGGGGAGGCUAUUUGGCAUUUUUCCCUGUAUUUUGAAACAGGUGGGCUGGGGCCUUCUCAAGUGGAGUCUUUUCAACUGAGAGAACUAGAAAGACAGACAAUGAUAGAAUGGGGUGGGGGUGGAGUAGAAUUACCAAGAGAACCAAACAUACAUUAAGUUAUUUUAACACCUGACUCAUUUUCAUGAAAGUCUUCAUUACUGCAUCUUCUGUCUCCAAGGUUUUCUACACACAUAAUUGCAGCUUGUGUUUACAAAGUCAUUACCACAUGCCAAGCACGUCACAUGUCUCGCUUCAUGUAACCUUCACAGCAGCACCUUGAGGUUCUGUUAUCUCCGUUUUACAGAAGGAAGAAACUGAGGCCCAGCAAGGUUGAGCAACUUACCCAAGAUUAAAAGACUAGCUAUUAAUGGAGUUGGCACUUGACUCAUGCAGUCUAAUUUUAAAGUACAAGCUGUUAUUUCCAGCCCCUGCAUUGCCUCCCUAGAUCCCUAAGCAUGAGGCCAGCCUUAUAAUGGUCUACAGUUACAGAAGCCACAGAGCCAUACCACCGUACUUUGAGAAUUGAGUCAACUCCUAUAGGAAGAGUUAUUCUUCACCUACGGGAUAUGUCCUUGUGCUAUACACUCUAGGGGAUUCAGUUGAGGAACUGAACAUUGAAGGUAACAACUUACUGAGAACAAGGUGGAAAGUAAGAUCUGAAUCUGCCCCCUCCCAGUGUGACUUGGGUGAGCCUCAGCUUGUUUAUCCAUUAAAUGGGGGGUCCUAUAACCUCCC